rnacentral:tmRNA from 1 species
CAUGCCGAGGGUUGUUGCCUUACCUCGCUAAUAACAAGCUUCAACAUGUUAAGUGGCAACACUGACAACUACGCACUUGCUGCCUAAUCACAGUUGAUUACGCAGUGUGCUGCUUUCUCCGGUUCGAGCCUGUAGGGUCGGAACAAAGCAUCGUCAAAUCAGGAUGCUGCAAGUAAUGUUCUGGUGCUUGCUUAAGAUAAAAGAACUAAGGAUACGAUUGGGCGUGUUUCUCCUUAUCGUAUCUCGACAAUGAAUGAAGCACUAAGCAUGUAGAAAGCUCUUUUAUUCCAUGUUUGGACGUGGGUUCAACUCCCACCAGCUCCACCA